UACGGAGGGUGCAAGCGUUAUCCGGAUUCACUGGGUUUAAAGGGUGCGUAGGCGGACAGGUAAGUCAGUGGUGAAAUCUCCGAGCUUAACUCGGAAACUGCCUUUGAUACUCUCUGUCUUGAAUAUGGUGGAGGUAAGCGGAAUAUGUCAUGUAGCGGUGAAAUGCUUAGAUAUGACAUAGAACACCAAUUGCGAAGGCAGCUCGCUACACGAAUAUUGACUCUGAGGCACGAAAGCGUGGGGAUCAAACAGG
rnacentral:rRNA from 1 species